UUCGGCUCACCCGAAGAAGUGCAUCGGAAAAUUGGGAAACUUGAGUGCAGAAGAGGACAGUGGAACUCCAUGAGUAGCGGAGAAAUGCGUAGAUAUAUGGAAGAACACCAGUGGCGAAGGCGGCUGUCUGGUCUGUAACUGACGGUGAGGCUCGAAAGCAUGGGUAGCAAACAGGAUUAGAUACCCUGGUAGUCCAUGCCGUAAACGAUGAGUGCUAGGUGUUGGAGGGUUUCCGCCCUUCAGUGCCGCAGCUAACGCAUUAAGCACUCCGCCUGGGGAGUACGACCGCAAGGUUGAAACUCAAAGGAAUUGACGGGGGCCCGCACAAGCGGUGGAGCAUGUGGUUUAAUUCGAAGCAACGCGAAGAACCUUACCAGGUCUUGACAUCCUUUGACCACUCUAGAGAUAGAGCUUUCCCUUCGGGGACAAAGUGACAGGUGGUGCAUGGUUGUCGUCAGCUCGUGUCGUGAGAUGUUGGGUUAAGUCCCGCAACGAGCGCAACCCUUAUUACUAGUUGCCAGCAUUUAGUUGGGCACUCUAGUGAGACUGCCGGUGACAAACCGGAGGAAGGUGGGGACGACGUCAAAUCAUCAUGCCCCUUAUGACCUGGGCUACACACGUGCUACAAUGGAUGGUACAACGAGUUGCGAGACCGCGAGGUUUAGCUAAUCUCUUAAAACCAUUCUCAGUUCGGAUUGUAGGCUGCAACUCGCCUACAUGAAGCCGGAAUCGCUAGUAAUCGCGGAUCAGCAUGCCGCGGUGAAUACGUUCCCGGGCCUUGUACACACCGCCCGUCACACCAUGAGAGUUUGUAACACCCAAAGCCGGUGAGGUAACCCUUCGGGGAGCCAGCCGUCUAAG
rnacentral:rRNA from 1 species